UACGUAGGUGGCAAGCGUUGUCCGGAUUUACUGGGCGUAAAGAGCGCGCAGGCGGUCGGAUAAGUCGAAUGUGAAAGCCCCCGGCUCAACUGGGGAGGGUCAUUCGAUACUGUUCGACUCGAAGGCAGGAGAGGGAAGUGAAAUUCCCGGUGUAGUGGUGAAAUGCGUAGAUAUCGGGAGGAACACCAGUGGCGAAGGCGACUUCCUGGCCUGUUCUUGACGCUGAGGCGCGAAAGCUAGGGGAGCAAACGGG
rnacentral:rRNA from 1 species